UAUUUCUUGCUUUAAAGUCUCAUAUUGUAAGGCUACAAGUAUGUCUGCUUAAACUAUGUCAAAAAAUGGUGAUUAGAAAUAAGCGUCAGAAAUUGACAAAAACAUUGAAACAUUAUAGGCCCUUGAGGAAUUCCUGUCUAGAAUGAGAUUGAGAAGAUAACAUAACAGCAAAAGUAAUUGCAAAAUUGUUUGCAAACAAAUCGGCCAGGAAUUACAUGAGCAAUGUACCAUUUUAACCAAAAACAAAAGGCUACAGUUUGCAAACAUUCAACGGUUGAUAAACCUAAUACACUAUACCCAUUUAUUGAUAUUGCUCAGCUUUGUAUCUAACUUGAGGAUUGCGAAUGUCAUCCUGACUUUGGAUUAACCUGAUCUCCAAACUACUUGAUUGGGGAUCAUAACCAGCUCUUCUGUAGUCAUUCACCGUGCUCUGCAGAAGAGCCUGCAAACUUGAUACGGCAAGUUCUGCUGCCCUGUCAAGGUUGUCAGGAUGUUUCUGGAUGGUAGGAAAAGAAUAUGUUAUAAGAAAUAAAUAUUACAGAGAUGAAUGUCUCAGAAUAAACUUAAAUUGAAAUACAGUGUUGAUACAAUACAUUACUCCAUCCAAGCAGAAGUGCAGUCAUCAGAUCUCCAGUUCCCUACAAGCAUGUUAUGUGAUGUACAUCAAUAGGCAUCUUAGACAAUGCAUGGUACCACUAAUAAUGAAAUCCAUAGAGUUUAAGACUUAGAACAUCAAGAGUAUUAUUCAUAUUAAUCACAAAUUCACAAUUAUGAUGCAAAAUCAAGCAGUUGAUCUAUAUUCCCUCUCCAUCUUGUGCCAUCCCUUCCCCAUUUGUCUUUCAAUUUUUUUCUUUUUUUUGAAAAAAUAUCAAACAUCUGUCACUCUUCUCUGUCCAAGUACAUCCCCACCCUUUUCUCUCCUUCCCCUUCUUUCUUCUCCUCGUUUGCUUGGGCUCUUUUGGCUGGUACACCUUGAUUGAAAUUAUACAUACUCCCUCCGUCUCAUUUCAAGUGAUGUUUUAAAAAAAAAAAAAAAAUUGUCCCACUUUAUUUGCUUUUUUAGAAAAUUAAGGAAACAUUAAUUAUUUUUUUUCCAACUUUACUCUUAUCUAUUGUUACCUCCAAUGCAUUUAUCUCUUCCUUAUCACUUUUCUCUAUCUUAAUUAAAUAUAAGUACUUAAGUCAAUUAUUAGUAUUUUUUUUUCAUAAAAUGAAGUUAUCCAAUCAUUUCUGCAAAAA
rnacentral:misc_RNA from 1 species